rnacentral:misc_RNA from 1 species
AAGUCGUAACAAGGUUUCCGUAGGUAUGUUAUCAAUCCCUAAUUAUCCCACUGUUAAUUUAUUCAAAUACUAAUUAAAUUCCAGGUGAACCUGCGGAAGGAUCAUUACCGAGUAUUGGUUGCUGUUUUCAGCGCCAACUCCCACCCUUUGUGUACCAAAAUCUAUUCAUCUUUGGCGAAGCGUUUUAGCUCUGCUACAACCACUGAUAGUUUAUACUAUGAGUGAGUCUUCGCCAAAGUCAAGUCUCAAACACUUAUUUUAUUAAUAUUGUCUGAGAAAAUCGAGAAAUAAACAAAACUUUCAACAACGGAUCUCUUGGUUCUG